rnacentral:rRNA from 1 species
CCUACGGGAGGCAGCAGUGGGGAAUAUUGCACAAUGGGCGCAAGCCUGAUGCAGCCAUGCCGCGUGUAUGAAGAAGGCCUUCGGGUUGUAAAGUACUUUCAGCGGGGAGGAAGGGAGUAAAGUUAAUACCUUCGCUCAUUGACGUUACCCGCAGAAGAAGCACCGGCUAACUCCGUGCCAGCAGCCGCGGUAAU